GGGCCAAGGAUGAUUUUUCACCCUAAAGUUGUCAGUCUGUGUGACUUCUUGUGGGGGGAGUCCUCCAAGAACUGUGCAAUACAUUUAUUUUUUUUAUUUUUUGAAACCUAAGGAGCAGUGGCUCGUUUGUGGUGAGGUGCGCUGGGGCCUGUUUUCUGGGCUGUGGCAGGCCGCAGGGAUGGAGAUGUGCGCUGAGGACCACGCUGGGUUUUCUCUGAAAAAAACUUCUCUCUGCAUCCCCGACUGUUGUCCUGGUAUUGUCAGCAAGCACAAGCCCGAAUGGCAUGCAGAUUGUGUUAAUUUGCACUGAAGACAGUCUUUGGCUCUACAAAUAAGAAAGCAUCUUUAAACACAUCCGUUCUCUACUGAGCUGAGUACUCCUGGCUUCCAGCUCUGUGGUGCACACAUGCACUCGGCCAGCAAGAUCAGUGAGGGACUUACAAGGUAAGUGUGAGCAAGUUUAUGAUGAAGUCGUUAAAUUCACGGACACUGUUCUUUUUUCAACAUCUCAUAUUGGACCAUGGAUUUGAUAUUUCAAGUAGUAACAUCAUUCUGCUGUUGAACUAGAAUAGUGAUGUUGGGUGGUAUUUGCUAGUUCUUCUGGUGUCACUGUGAGCCGUGAAUCUCUCAAAAGGAAUCAGUGGUUUGGAUGGGAGAAGAGGAAAGGAUAGAACUUGCUUGGGUAAUCAUACAAGCAGUCCUUGUGCUGCUUUUAACUUGUGCAGCUUUUAACUAAGCUGAGUGUUACCCAUCCCCAGUCCAGUCACUGAAUUACUCUGUUGUGC
rnacentral:lncRNA from 1 species